CCUACGGGUGGCAGCAGUAGGGAAUAUUGCUCAAUGGGGGAAACCCUGAAGCAGCACCGCCGCGUGGAGGAUGAAGGUUUUCGGAUUGUAAACUCCUUUUGUUAGAGAAGAUAAUGACGGUAUCUAACGAAUAAGCACCGGCUAACUCCGUGCCAGCAGCCGCGGUAAUACGGAGGGUGCAAGCGUUACUCGGAAUCACUGGGCGUAAAGAGCGCGUAGGCGGGAUAGCAAGUCAGAUGUGAAAUCCUAGGGCUUAACCAUAGAACUGCAUUUGAAACUGUGAUUCUAGAGUGUAGGAGAGGUAGGUGGAAGUCUUGGUGUAGGGGUGAAAUCCGUAGAGAUCAAGAGGAAUACUCAUUGCGAAGGCGACCUGCUAGAACAUAACUGACGCUGAUGCGCGAAAGCGUGGGGAGCAAACAGGAUUAGAUACCCCUGUAGUC
rnacentral:rRNA from 1 species